rnacentral:lncRNA from 1 species
ACUUCACACUCAGGAAUCCAUGACGUCGCCUCCUCCGCAGCCAGCCAGCUCCGUGGCUCCUUUGGCCGCCAAGCACAAGUCCCUGAUUGUUCGGGGCAGAGAAAAAGUCAGGGAGAGGGAGGCGCGCAGGGGUGGGGGCGCGGCCCGCCAGGCCCUGCAGGAGCUGUGUGCAAACUCGCAGACAGCCACCGCCUCCCCGCUGCAGCCUUGCCUGAAUCCAGCCUCCUGACACCCCACUUUGUGAGCGGGUGCCCCUUGGAGAAAGCUCCCCAGGAUUUCAGCCAGCACCCCCUGGGUUGUCCAGGACCCAGGGGUGUCUCCUUAGGCCCUCAGUGCCUCUGACUGCCCAGAUUCUUGAGUGUUCAGGGAUGAAGAGGAGCAAGACGAAGGAAAAAGAAAUAAAUAACAGCGCCUGUGCCAA